rnacentral:rRNA from 1 species
UUGACCUCAGAUCAGGUAGGACUACCCGCUGAACUUAAGCAUAUCAAUAAGCGGAGGAAAAGAAACUAACAAGGAUUCCCCUAGUAACUGCGAGUGAAGCGGGAAAAGCUCCAAUUUAAAAUCUGGCGGUCUUGCGGCCGUCCGAGUGUAAUCUGGAGAAGCGUCUAUCCGUGUCGCGUCAUCAAGGUGAGAGUCUCGUCGUUUACACAGACUACGAUGCUUUUGUGAUGCGCUCUCUACGAGUCGAGUUGUUGGAAUGCGCUCAACAUUGGUGGGGGAUUCCAUCUAAGUAACUAAUGGUCAAGAUCGAUAA